rnacentral:rRNA from 1 species
CCAGCUUGCUGGAUAAGAAAGUGGCGCACGGGUGCGUAACGCGUAUGCAACCUACCUUAAUCAGGGGGAUAGCCCGGAGAAAUCCGGAUUAACACCGCAUAAAAUCACAGUACAGCAUUGUACAAUGAUCAAAUAUUUAUAGGAUUAAGAUGGGCAUGCGUGUCAUUAGCUAGUUGGCGGGGUAACGGCCCACCAAGGCGACGAUGACUAGGGGAUCUGAGAGGAUGACCCCCCACACUGGUACUGAGACACGGACCAGACUCCUACGGGAGGCAGCAGUAAGGAAUAUUGGUCAAUGGAGGCAACUCUGAACCAGCCAUGCCGCGUGCAGGAAGACGGCCCUCUGGGUUGUAAACUGCUUUUAUUCGGGAAUAAACCUUAGUACGUGUACUGAGCUGAAUGUACCGAAGGAAUAAGGAUCGGCUAACUCCGUGCCAGCAGCCGCGGUAAUACGGAGGAUCCAAGCGUUAUCCGGAUUUAUUGGGUUUAAAGGGUGCGUAGGCGGCCUGUUAAGUCAGGGGUGAAAGACGGUGGCUCAACCAUCGCAGUGCCCUUGAUACUGAUGGGCUUGAAUGAACUAGAGGUAGGCGGAAUGUGACAAGUAGCGGUGAAAUGCAUAGAUAUGUCACAGAACACCGAUUGCGAAGGCAGCUUACUAUGGUUUUAUUGACGCUGAGGCACGAAAGCGUGGGGAUCAAACAGGAUUAGAUACCCUGGUAGUCCACG